UGAAAUUAAACUUUUGUGAAGGAAGAAUUGGAACGAUACAGAGAAGAUUAGCAUGGCCCCUGCGAAAGGAUGACACGCAAAAUCGUGAAGCGUUCCACAUUUUC